rnacentral:lncRNA from 1 species
AGCUGAGGGCUGGGGUUAUAGCUCAGUGGUAGAGCACUUGCCUCUCAUGCAUGAGGCACUAGGUUUGAUCCUCAGCACAUCUACAACUAAAAAAAUAUUUUUAAAAAAGAAUUUUAUAUCUGAGGGGAUUUUGGAGAUCAAGUUUAAUUCCAAAUUUCUCUGGUCAUGCAGUUGAGAAACAGAAGUUAAAAGACUUAAAAAAUUUAAGUAGUUAGCAGUAGACUCAAGAUUAAGAGCUAGUUGCUUUAGUAAGUACUAGGUAAAAAACUAUUAUAUAUAUAACACUAUUACUGAUUAAAGUUAUAAUGAGGUUCAAAGUGAAACAGUCACUCAGUCUUUCUCCCUCUUUAAUACCCUGUUGGAGCUAUUCUGAAAAAUUGGUCUUUUAGUAUAUGUAUGCAUAUAUCUGUAUAUUUCUGUAUUUUUAAUUUGAAAAUUGUAGAAUUUGGAAAGCGUCAAAUUUUAAGGAUGUUUAACAUUAUAACAUCACUUUAAAAAUGAUAUAACUAAGGAAUAUCAUUUGGUAUGGGACAUUUGAGGAAUCUGUGAAAUCAUGAGUUAUUGAAGUAUCACAUUCAAAAUAAUUUUUACUGACAAAGUAAGGUCAAAGGGGAGGAAGUAUAACAAGAAUUCUGUUUUUGAGUAAUUUGAAAUUUUCAUGAAUUCAGUCUUAACAUGCUCUUAUCUCCAUGCAUUAUUUAAAGAAUAAAAUAACAUUUUUUAAAGCAUAAAUAUUCCCUGUGAAAUGAUGAAAGAAUAUUAAUGAAGAUAAUGUUAUGGUAUCAUCACUAUACUGCCUUUUUAUGUAAAAAGGAAACUUGAAUAAAAAACAUUUGAAAGUAUUUAACCUGCUUAAUACUUAGAGUACUCAGGGUGAUUCAAAUUUAAAAACAAAUAACACUUUACAGUUACUCAGUUAGUACAAAUUAUUGGAAAAAUAUUCAUACCCUGUGACUUAUGGAUGUCAUUUCUAGAAAUUUUUCCUAGGGUAAUAAUUUUAAAGUUGGGAGGAGAAGAAGCUGAUCAUAUGUAUUUAUUGUAACAUUGACUAUAAUUGCAAAAGUUGGAAAUUAGUAAAAUGUGCUGCAGGAGGAAAAUGGUUAUAUUUUUAUUUUGACUUAAUAGGAUGAGCUUUUAUAUGAUAUAAUAAAUAUUAUAGCACUUCCAGGCACUGCACUGAGCAUUUUAAAAUUAUUUUUAGCAUAUUAUUUUCACGACUAGUCAUAAAAUUAUCUUUGCAGUAAUGUUUAUGGUACAAUAUAGAAAAUACUUUAUCUUUUUUCCUGU